rnacentral:rRNA from 1 species
UACGAAGGGGGCUAGCGUUGCUCGGAAUCACUGGGCGUAAAGCGCACGUAGGCGGGUUGCUAAGUCAGGGGUGAAAUCCUGGAGCUCAACUCCAGAACUGCCUUUGAUACUGGCGAUCUCGAGUCCGGGAGAGGUGAGUGGAACUGCGAGUGUAGAGGUGAAAUUCGUAGAUAUUCGCAAGAACACCAGUGGCGAAGGCGGACUCACUGGCCCGGGUACUGACGCUGAGGUGCGAAAGCGUGGGGAGCAAACAGG